GCAGGAGCAGAACCUUCACGGAGUCUUCCUCCACAGAAUAAAAUAAAGGAAUGGAGGGACGAGGACAACUGUUUCUCAUUUCUUAAAAGAUCUGCUGUCAUUUCCUUAAGAUUCCACAUCCCUUCCCAAGCUAGAGACGUAAGCCAAGACCUUUCGGUUACCGCUUGACUGUGUGAUUCUUUUAAUAAAGGAAGUCGGCACAGGCAUUAAUUAAUAGCCACCCGCAAACGUUCAACUCGCCCAUAAUUCUCUGUGGAAGAAAUAGAAGAGACAAGAGAUAGAGCCCUUGAAGCUGCCUCGUGACUCUGAGGCGUUGGAUCGUUGUGUCCUGGUCACCUGUUCAGUAAAAAGCUGGAGAGCCCAUGGCUCGUGGGAGACAACCUGUCAGUGCAAUGUUCAGUUGUUUAUGAUGGAGAAAUGAUUAUAAACGGAAGUCGGAUUGGCCGCUCUAGCACUGUUGUGAUUGCUGUCCUAGUAAUUGUUGCUCCCUGUCUCUCUUCCAUCUCCUUCUACCCUCGGCCGGCAUCGGAGCACAGCUUUACACUGCAACCAGAGAGCGUAAGUUACAGCCAGAAGUCUUGUGUUGCUGGGAAAAGACCAUACUUUCCCAAGUUACAUUAUUUUUUUCCUGAUUAGUAUGUUUCAACUACCAAGAUAAGGCUAAGAAAAAGAGCAUAAGCUCAGUUUACCUAGAAUGGAAAAAAAACAAAACAAAACAAAACAAAAAAAAACCAAAAAAACAA
rnacentral:lncRNA from 1 species